rnacentral:rRNA from 1 species
UACGUAGGGUGCGAGCGUUGUCCGGAAUUAUUGGGCGUAAAGAGCUCGUAGGCGGUGUGUCACGUCGGCCGUGAAAACCUGCAGCUUAACUGUGGGCGUGCGGUCGAUACGGGCAUCACUGGAGUUCGGCAGGGGAGACUGGAAUUCCUGGUGUAGCGGUGAAAUGCGCAGAUAUCAGGAGGAACACCGGUGGCGAAGGCGGGUCUCUGGGCCGAUACUGACGCUGAGGAGCGAAAGCAUGGGGUAGCGAACAGGG